rnacentral:lncRNA from 1 species
UUCAACACUUCUUAAAAUUGUGGUUGAACUAUAAGUAACACACUGUUUACAGACAAGCUUGUGUUUGCCCACAGCAGCUAUGGGCACUGCAUACGCAGGAACUAGAUUCGUGUGAGCAGACAUGUGUGUACAUGUGCCGUGCCGACAGCCGCGCCAUCGCAGUGAUGCGUUGUCUAUAGUUGCAGUUAAAAAAAUAUUGAAAUAUGAGGAUGCAAAAAUUCUGAGCCCAUCGAGCUAAACCACAGCUGCCUCAAACAAAUCACUGCACCCUGCACGCCACAUCAAAGCAGUGGGGCUUGAUGCAAUCAGCACUGCUUGAACAUGGUGGCAUGGAGGUGGUAAAGAAAAAUGGGGUGUCGUGAGAGCCUGAAUCUCUUAUUGUCAUACAGGACCAAGCAAGAAACACAGUGCAGAGAGGCAAGGAGGUAAAAUAAAGGGAGUAAAGCAAAAGGAACAGGGUAUGUGUUCCUAGUAGUCAUGCCGGCCACCUUGAGUGGCAGUGUUUGGGCAUAAGAACCAAGAAGGAAAUUCAUGAAGCCUGUAAUUCUAACACAUAUAUACUUUUGGACGUUCGAUAGGACCGGUUUCCGUGAACAUAACAGCCGAGAAAACAUCUGACACCUUACAGACAUGUCAGGAAGCAAGGAAAGGUUAUUUUUUUACUCAUCGUUUACAUUUGGGUGAUUAACUUAGUCUUGAAAAAAAACACGUCAUUUUAAUGACAUUGUGAUAAAUAAAUUUUGGGUCUUUAAAUUGUC